rnacentral:rRNA from 1 species
AAUGAACGUUGGCGGCGUGGAUUAGGCAUGCAAGUCGUGCGGAAAGGCUCCUUCGGGAGUACUCGAGCGGCGUAAGGGAGAGUAACGCGUGGAUAUCUACCCCCUGGACUGGGAUAGCGGCGGGAAACUGCCGGUAAUACCGGAUAAUGUCUUCGGACCGAAGGUGUGAUUCCGCUUGGAGACGGAUCUGCGUCCUAUUAGCUAGUUGGUGGGGUAAUGGCCCACCAAGGCGAUGAUGGGUAGCGGGCGUGAGAGCGUGGCCCGCGUCACUGGGACUGAGACACUGCCCAGACACCUACGGGUGGCUGCAGUCGAGAAUCUUCGGCAAUGGGCGCAAGCCUGACCGAGCGACGCCGCGUGCGGGAUGAAGGCCUUCGGGUUGUAAACCGCUGUCGGAGAGGCGGAAAUCUCUAGGGGUUCUCCCCUAGAGUUGACCUAAUCUCGGAGGAAGUCCGGGCUAAGUUCGUGCCAGCCGCCGCCGUAAGAC